AGAGUUUGAUCCUGGCUCAGGACGAACGCUGGCGGCAUGCCUAAUACAUGCAAGUCGAGCGGAGUGAUUUUGAAAGCUUGCUUUCAAAAUCAUUUAGCGGCGGACGGGUGAGUAACACGUAGGCAACCUGCCCCUUAGACUGGGAUAACUACCGGAAACGGUAGCUAAUACCGGAUAAUUUCUUUUUUCUCCUGAAGAGAGAAUGAAAGACGGAGCAAUCUGUCACUGAGGGAUGGGCCUGCGGCGCAUUAGCUAGUUGGUGAGGUAACGGCUCACCAAGGCGACGAUGCGUAGCCGACCUGAGAGGGUGAACGGCCACACUGGGACUGAGACACGGCCCAGACUCCUACGGGAGGCAGCAGUAGGGAAUCUUCCGCAAUGGGCGAAAGCCUGACGGAGCAAUGCCGCGUGAGUGAUGAAGGUUUUCGGAUCGUAAAGCUCUGUUGCCAGGGAAGAACGUCCGGUAGAGUAACUGCUACCGGAGUGACGGUACCUGAGAAGAAAGCCCCGGCUAACUACGUGCCAGCAGCCGCGGUGAUACGUAGGGUGCGAGCGUUGUCCGGAUUUAUUGGGCGUAAAGGGCUCGUAGGUGGUUGAUCGCGUCGGAAGUGUAAUCUUGGGGCUUAACCCUGAGCGUGCUUUCGAUACGGGUUGACUUGAGGAAGGUAGGGGAGAAUGGAAUUCCUGGUGGAGCGGUGGAAUGCGCAGAUAUCAGGAGGAACACCAGUGGCGAAGGCGGUUCUCUGGGCCUUUCCUGACGCUGAGGAGCGAAAGCGUGGGGAGCGAACAGGCUUAGAUACCCUGGUAGUCCACGCUGUAAACGGUGGGUACUAGGUGUGGGGUCCAUUCCACGGGUUCCGUGCCGUAGCUAACGCUUUAAGUACCCCGCCUGGGGAGUACGGCCGCAAGGCUAAAACUCAAAGGAAUUGACGGGGCCCCGCACAAGCGGCGGAGCAUGCGGAUUAAUUCGAUGCAACGCGUAGAACCUUACCUGGGUUUGACAUGGAUCGGGAGUGCUCAGAGAUGGGUGUGCCUCUUUUGGGGUCGGUUCACAGGUGGUGCAUGGUUGUCGUCAGCUCGUGUCGUGAGAUGUUGGGUUAAGUCCCGCAACGAGCGCAACCCUUGUCCUUAGUUGCCACCAUUCAGUUGGGCACUCUAAGGAGACUGCCGGUGACAAACCGGAGGAAGGUGGGGAUGACGUCAAAUCAUCAUGCCCCUUAUGAGUUGGGCUACACACGUGCUACAAUGGACGGUACAAAGGGCAGCGAAGCCGCGAGGUGGAGCCAAUCCCAGAAAGCCGUUCUCAGUUCGGAUUGCAGGCUGCAACUCGCCUGCAUGAAGUCGGAAUCGCUAGUAAUCGCAGGUCAGCAUACUGCGGUGAAUACGUUCCCGGGUCUUGUACACACCGCCCGUCACACCACGAGAGUUUGUAACACCCGAAGUCGGUGAGGUAACCUUAGGGAGCCAGCCGCCGAAGGUGGGACAGAUGAUUGGGGUGAAGUCGUAACAAGGUAACAUCU
rnacentral:rRNA from 1 species